UGGUCCCAAGGGUUGGGCUGUUCGCCCAUUAAAGCGGUACGCGAGCUGGGUUCAGAACGUCGUGAGACAGUUCGGUCCCUAUCCUCUGCGCGCGUUGGAAAUUUGAGAAGGUCUGUCCUUAGUACGAGAGGACCGGGACGGACGAACCUCUGGUAUGUCAGUUGUACCGCCAGGUGCAUGGCUGAUUAGCUACGUUCGGGAUGGAUAACCGCUGAAAGCAUCUAAGCGGGAAGCCGGCUUCGAGAUGAGAUUUCCUUGCCCCUUUGAGGGUGUGAGGCCCCCAGCUAGAACACUGGGUUGAUAGGCUGGAUGUGGAAGCACGGACUGACGACGUGUGGAGCUGACCAGUACUAAUAGGCCGAUGACUUACAAACAC
rnacentral:rRNA from 1 species